AGGAGGAAACUGAGGGCUACGAACAUGAAGUGGCUGGCCGAAGCCAUUAAGCCAGAGUUCGGGGAAAAGGAGGACCAAUAGUUGGCUAAAAGUGACUAAACAAGUUAAAGAAUUCAUGAACAAAACCUCCGCCGUCUGAACAGAGCAGAACGUGAGGAACGGCAUGUCCAGUUCCGUAACCUUCCUCAUCAAGCCCCCUUCACAGAAGGUCCAACCUGAAGAUCAUUCCAGAAGCCUCCCUGAGAGGACCCUUUGAGGAUCAGGGCAUUGGAAUAAUACAAACACUUGAUUCGUCUGUCCUACCUUUCUCACAAAUAAAUCUGGCAAUACGUGGAUUUCUGUUGUCAUCUUUUUUCUUUCUUCAAAGAAAUGAAAUCCGCCCACCCAGGAACAUCAGGUCUCAGGAGACCUUACGGAGGCUGACCGAGUGCGCUCAAGAUACAGACCUGCCACGU
rnacentral:lncRNA from 1 species